CCUACGGGUGGCAGCAGUGAGGAAUAUUGGUCAAUGGCCGGAAGUCUGAACCAGCCAAGCCGCGUGAAGGACGAAGGUGCCAAGCAUUGUAAACUUCUUUUGUCAAGGGACAAAAUCAGGCUCGAGAGCCUGACCGAAGGUACUUGAAGAAAAAGCAUCGGCUAACUCCGUGCCAGCAGCCGCGGUAAUACGGAGGAUGCGAGCGUUAUCCGGAUUUAUUGGGUUUAAAGGGUGCGUAGGCGGACUGUUAAGUCAGCGGUAAAAGCCCGGGGCUCAACCCAGGAGAGCCGUUGAAACUGGCUGUCUUGAGAUGUCGAGAGGUAGGCGGAAUGCGCAGUGUAGCGGUGAAAUGCUUAGAUAUUGCGCAGAACUCCGAUUGCGAAGGCAGCAUACCGGCGGCGAUCUGACGCUGAGGCACGAAAGCGUGGGUAUCGAACAGGAUUAGAUACCCGAGUAGUC
rnacentral:rRNA from 1 species